rnacentral:rRNA from 1 species
AACGAACGCUGGCGGCAGGCCUAAUACAUGCAAGUCGAGCGCGCCCUUCGGGGUGAGCGGCGGACGGGUGAGUAACGCGUGGGAAUAUGCCCUUCUCUAAGGAAUAGCCUCUGGAAACGGAGAGUAAUACCUUAUACGCCCUUUGGGGGAAAGAUUUAUCGGAGAAGGAUUAGCCCGCGUUAGAUUAGGUAGUUGGUGGGGUAAUGGCCUACCAAGCCUACGAUCUAUAGCUGGUUUGAGAGGAUGAUCAGCCACACUGGGACUGAGACACGGCCCAGACUCCUACGGGAGGCAGCAGUAGGGAAUCUUAGACAAUGGGGGCAACCCUGAUCUAGCCAUGCCGCGUGUGUGAUGAAGGCCUUAGGGUCGUAAAGCACUUUCGCCAGAGAUGAUAAUGACAGUAUCUGGUAAAGAAACCCCGGCUAACUCCGUGCCAGCAGCCGCGGUAAUACGGAGGGGGUUAGCGUUGUUCGGAAUUACUGGGCGUAAAGCGCACGUAGGCGGAUUAGUAAGUUAGAGGUGAAAUCCCAGGGCUCAACCCUGGAACUGCCUUUAAUACUGCUAGUCUUGAGUUCGAGAGAGGUAAGUGGAAUUCCGAGUGUAGAGGUGAAAUUCGUA